GAUGAACGCUGGCGGCGUGCCUAAUACAUGCAAGUCGAGCGAACAGACGAGGAGCUUGCUCCUCUGACGUUAGCGGCGGACGGGUGAGUAACACGUGGAUAACCUACCUAUAAGACUGGGAUAACUUCGGGAAACCGGAGCUAAUACCGGAUAAUAUAUUGAACCGCAUGGUUCAAUAGUGAAGGACGGUUUUGCUGUCACUUAUAGAUGGAUCCGCGCCGCAUUAGCUAGUUGGUAAGGUAACGGCUUACCAAGGCAACGAUGCGUAGCCGACCUGAGAGGGUGAUCGGCCACACUGGAACUGAGACACGGUCCAGACUCCUACGGGAGGCAGCAGUAGGGAAUCUUCCGCAAUGGGCGAAAGCCUGACGGAGCAACGCCGCGUGAGUGAUGAAGGUCCUCGGAUCGUAAAACUCUGUUAUUAGGGAAGAACAAAUGUGUAAGUAACUAUGCACGUCUUGACGGUACCUAAUCAGAAAGCCACGGCUAACUACGUG
rnacentral:rRNA from 1 species